rnacentral:rRNA from 1 species
AUGUGCGAACAUGGAGAGAGGAAGAUCGAUGAGACCUUGAAGAAUCAUGUGGUUGACAUUUCAACUUCGGAUAGAAGGUUUUCCGCAUUAUGUUGGUUGGCUUUCAUUAAGAUCAAUGAGUCAUCCGCAAAGAGAAGAUUUGUGACCGGUGGGGCGUCUCUACAGACUUUUACUCCUGAUAUGUUUCCAUUCUUCUCAGCAUGCACAAGCAAGGCAUUCAAUUCUUAUGUGCACAGCAAAAAAAGGAAUCAUCACGAUCGCCGUAUCAUUCCAACCCUCCGGUAUAGUGCAUGUGUUGAUUGCUGUCAGAACAUCCUCCCAGCAUGGGCCAAAACCUUUUAUAGAAGAUAG